AGGGGCGUAGCUCAACUGGUAGAGUAGCGGACUCCAAAUCCGUUGGUUGCGGGUUCGAGCCCUGCCGCCCCUGCCA
rnacentral:tRNA from 1 species